rnacentral:rRNA from 1 species
AUAGAACGCUGGCGGCAGGCCUAACACAUGCAAGUCGAACGGUAGCACAGAGGAGCUUGCUCCUUGGGUGACGAGUGGCGGACGGGUGAGUAAUGUCUGGGAAACUGCCCGAUGGAGGGGGAUAACUACUGGAAACGGUAGCUAAUACCGCAUAACGUCGCAAGACCAAAGAGGGGGACCUUCGGGCCUCUUGCAAUCGGAUGUGCCCAGAUGGGAUGAGCUAGUAGGUGGGGUAACGGAUCACCUAGGCGACGAGCCCUAGCUGGUCUGAGAGGAUGACCAGCCACACUGGAACUGAGACACGGUCCAGACUCCUACGGGAGGCAGCAGUGGGGAAUAUUGCACAAUGGGCGCAAGCCUGAUGCAGCCAUGCCGCGUGUAUGAAGAAGGCCUUCGGGUUGUAAAGUACUUUCAGCGAGGAGGAAGGUGUUGUGGUUAAUAACCGCAGCAAUUGACGUUACUCGCAGAAGAAGCACCGGCUAACUCCGUGCCAGCAGCCGCCGUAA